rnacentral:sRNA from 1 species
AAGACUAUACUUUCAGGGAUCAUUUCUAUAGUUCGUUACUAGAGAUAUUAUAUUUACCGGUUGAAAAGGAACUUCUCAGGA